GACGAACGCUGGCGGCGUGCUUAACACAUGCCAGUCGAACGGAAAGGCUCUGCUUUUGUGGGGUGCUCGAGUGGCGAACGGGUGAGUAACACGUGAGUAACCUGCCCUUGACUUUGGGAUAACUUCAGGAAACUGGGGCUAAUACCGGAUAGGAGCUCCUGCUGCAUGGUGGGGGUUGGAAAGUUUCGGCGGUUGGGGAUGGACUCGCGGCUUAUCAGCUUGUUGGUGGGGUAGUGGCUUACCAAGGCUUUGACGGGUAGCCGGCCUGAGAGGGUGACCGGCCACAUUGGGACUGAGAUACGGCCCAGACUCCUACGGGAGGCAGCAGUGGGGAAUAUUGCACAAUGGGCGGAAGCCUGAUGCAGCAACGCCGCGUGCGGGAUGACGGCCUUCGGGUUGUAAACCGCUUUCGCCUGUGACGAAGCGUGAGUGACGGUAAUGGGUAAAGAAGCACCGGCUAACUACGUG
rnacentral:rRNA from 1 species